ACCAGUGGCACCAUGGGUCAGUGCAUUUGGCUGUUAAUCAGAUGGUCGGUGAUUCGAGCCCACCCAGGGACG